UGGUAAUUUUUAGCUGUUAUUUAAAAUAUCAAAGAAUCGGAAUCGGCAUGUGGAAUUUUUAUUAGAAUCGCAUCGGCAUCGGGAUUUUGAAAUCGUCCCAUAGCUAAUAUAUAUAAUGUUGCGAUCCUAGUUACGCAACCUUACAAUUUUAUAUUUAACUAUUCCACUUAGUCUUAAAAAGUGUGGGGGGGCUAUAGCCCAUUGGAACUUCUUAUAGUUCUGGCACCCCUGGUCAGUGCUUCUCCCGCUUUUUGACAUUUCCCUUUCCUCCAUAAUUCUACCAAGCUAAAUCUUCAAUUUUUUCUUCAAAAGAUGCUUGUUGAACAUAUUUUAUCGUCCUUUUAUAAAAAGGAUCAUGGAGUCCAUGGUACAAGACCCACAGUUUGACUAAUCCUGUUCGCCCUAGUCAUUUGCAAAUCCAAGGACCUUUAGUACAGAUAUUUUUCUUAUGAACAUGCCUCUUUCUAAGAAGCGUGUAUAUUAUAAGCUUAAAACUUAUAUGUAACGUUCUAAAUGUUUGCUUGCAUGAAUGGAGGAUGAAAGGGAAGGCCUAACCUUGGGAAGUUGAGUGGAUCAAAGUACAGAACACAUAUUCUUUAUAUAAAAGAUAUUAUUAUUUUUGAUCAUAAUACAAGAGAAUGAAUUCAAAA
rnacentral:lncRNA from 1 species